rnacentral:rRNA from 1 species
GUAAGGAAUAUUGGACAAUGGACGCAAGUCUGAUCCAGCCAUGCCGCGUGAAGGAUUAAGGUCCUCUGGAUUGUAAACUUCUUUUAUAAGGGACGAAAAAAGGCUUUUCUAAGUCGUCUGACGGUACCUUAUGAAUAAGCACCGGCUAACUCCGUGCCAGCAGCCGCGGUAAUACGGAGGGUGCAAGCGUUAUCCGGAUUCACUGGGUUUAAAGGGUGCGUAGGCGGGCAGGUAAGUCAGUGGUGAAAUCCUAGAGCUUAACUCUAGAACUGCCAUUGAUACUAUCUGUCUUGAAUAUUGUGGAGGUAAGCGGAAUAUGUCAUGUAGCGGUGAAAUGCUUAGAUAUGACAUAGAACACCUAUUGCGAAGGCAGCUUACUACGCAGAUAUUGACGCUGAGGCACGAAAGCGUGGGGAUCAAACAGGAUUAGAACCCGUGUAGUCC